GACGAACGCUGGCGGCGUGCUUAACACAUGCAAGUCGAGCGGUAAGGCCCUUUCGGGGGUACGACGAGCGGCGAACGGGUGAGUGACACGUGGGUGACCUGCCCUCAGCUCUGGGAGUAAGCCUGGGAAACCGGGGUCUAAUACCGGAUAUGACUCCAUGACGCAUGUUGUGGGGUGGAAAGCCUUGUGCGGCUGAGGAUGGGCCCGCGGCCUAUCAGCUUGUUGGUGGGGUGAUGGCCUACCAAGGCGACGACGGGUAGCCGGCCUGAGAGGGCGACCGGCCACACUGGGACUGAGACACGGCCCAGACUCCUACGGGAGGGCAGCAGUGGGGAAGUCUUGCGCAAUGGGCGAAAGCCUGACGCAGCGACGCCGCGUGAGGGAUGACGGCCU
rnacentral:rRNA from 1 species